UAGCAAUUUUGUUAGAUAAAAAUAAUUAUUUUAAAAAUAAAAAGCCGCGCAAUGCGUUUGGUCGUCAUUACCGAAAGUUAAAAAAUAUCGUUAGGAAAAAUCGAGCGCUAUACGAGACAUUUUCACUCACUUUGUGAAUACUCGAACAUUUUGUAGGCUGACCUGAAGUUAUUUUGUUUGAGUUGAUCCAAUGCAAAGGGCUUUAGUAGUGAGUUGACGAUAUUUCACGAUUAGAGUAUUACACAUUUUGUCAAUAGAGAUUUAAAGACUAACAUGAAAUCACCUCGACCUUUCCGAUUCAAUUGGCAGACAACAGAGAGAGUAGUAACACACCCGUCACCCAAGGAGGACUGUGGGAGCUGUGGUUUAAGCUCAGGUCUAAACUUACCCAGUACUAGAAGCUUGGUAAGGAGAUGAUGAUGAUGAAGAAGGACAUCUCUAGUGAUGCAAGAGAUUGGAAUAUACUGUUUGACGAAGAUAAAUACCCUGCCCAAUUCCCUCAGCAUACCUACAAUGCUAGAGCUCAGUGACCAAGUGGAAAGGAAGAAAAAACCAAAAGAGAGCUAAUUCCCGGGAUCACUGGUGUUGACUGGAUUGUGAAGAUCUUUAUGGUGGAUAUUUACUGCAGAGUCCUGUGGCACCACAUAAUUCUUUUCAACUACUUUGGUCUAAAGAACGAAGACGGUAGUACUGCAAGAGAUUGCUUUGAAAUCUCUUCAAUGUUUCUAAUCAACGGUUCAUCUAAGUGUUGCAUGCACAAAACAUGGUUCAAGCUAUAACCGCGGAAUCACAAGUACUGGUAACUGAGAUGCCUUCUAACAACCAGAAGCCCAGAAGAAACUGCUCUUUCAAGACAUACAGUUUAAGGGCAUAAUUGUUUUAAUUUUAUCUGCUUUUACUGUAGUUGAACUGCAACUAUCAUAAUCUAACAGACAUGAUGGACAGUUGAGCUGAAGAUUACAUAUAUAUUUGGCUUUCAUUUAUA